rnacentral:rRNA from 1 species
AUGAAGAGCCGAUUUUGCCACCUUGUUUUCAUUUUCCUUGUGGUCUCUCUAUGUUCCUUACCUGCAUUUGGUAUACGCCACGGAAGCUUUCAAUCAGUGAACCAUAGGGACCUGGCUCCCAGUCCAAGUUCGACUGAGCUCCCUUCUCUGGCACAAAGCCGUGCGUUUGAAUCAUUGAUCUCGGUGGACUAUACCGGUGUAGAAGGACACGCACCCCAGAUCCACGCACCUAAGUUGGUAGAGGCGCCUCCGUCUGACUAA